UCCUUCUACCAGUUGAACACACAGUGUUCAUCCCCUCAGGAGGACACAGCUUUUGAGGUACCAUCUUGGAAGCAGAGACCAGCCCUCACUAGACACAAACUUCCUGGCACCUUGAUUUUGGACUUCAUAGCCUCCAGAACUGUGAGAAAUAAAUUUCUAUUAUUUAUAAAUUACCCAGUAUUGGAUAUUUUGUUAUAGCAGCACAAAAGGUCUAAGACAAUGACUGAGAGACACAGCCAGAAGACUCAAAAGACCCUGGUCUUGAAGCCAGAAAGACCUGGCUUUGCCAGUAGCAUGGUAUUUCAAUAAAGUAUGAUUAAACACUCUUUGAGGGACUAGAAAGGGGAAGGAAGAAUGGAGAUGGAUCAUUUGUUUCAUGCCUUUUACUUACAUUUAAGGAAUUAUGAGCAGGUGCCUAUGGAUUUUUGGAAUAUGCUUCUCUAACACUAUAAAAACUAGAAAGUGAAACUUAUAGCCACAAAUGUCAGUUUGAAAUUUCUAAUGACAAUAGAAGAAAUUAUGUAGACUCUCUCCUAAACUAUUACACCAUCAAUCAUUGCAACACAUUUUUUUCAUUUUGCCCAACUUCUACUCCUCUCAUUCUGCCCACUCCUAUAGUAUCUAAAAUGUAGUUUCUGUUAGAGAGAAUGGUGCACCACUCAACUCAUCAGCUUGAGGGCUUUGAAUGGUGUUUUCUUUUUUUUUUUUUUAUUUCAUGGCAAGCUGACUUACAAGUGACUCAAUUGUAAGCUAAGAUUUAUUUUAAUCACCAAAGAUAAUGAAUUCAAACAAUGUUACUUACACCCCUUAAUAUCACAGCUCCUAAAAACAUUGAAAUGCACAUUUUUCACCUGCUAGUCAUCUUCAAUAAUAUUCUGGAGAGGAAACAUUCUUUCCUGUCCUUACAGUGGUUGUAUAUCUUAAAAGAGGACUGUAUGACACUUGAAUAUUGAUAUUCUACCUUAACCAAAGCAGUCACAAGAAUACAAGCCAUUGGCCUCUGGUCUUUUAGAUAUGUUUCCAACAAGUUUAUAUGUACCCAAUGAAAAAUGUUAAAUAAACUGAUAAAUUUUAAACAUUUAAAAAUAUUUUAUUUAUUUACUUGCCACAGCUAGAUAAGAGGAACUGGGUUACUUUUGAAACUCUCAGUUUCCUUUCCUCUAAACCAGUAGCUAUUGCUGGCCACUAGUAUGUCGUUUCCUUUGCAGGAAGUUGCAAAAAUGAGAAAGAAAAAAAAACAAAAAACAAAACCAAGUUGGUAUUAUUUUUAGCUUUCUUCUUAUUUGGAUAUAGCUACAGUUCUUUUUCUUAUGGUGAUUAACUUAACUAUUCAAGAGAGAAAAAAGAAGCAAAGGGGACUAGCAGGGAAUUAGUAGGGAAUUGUGCCAAAGGACAUAUGGCAAGGUUAUUGUCAAAAAGCUGAGCUGCUGAAAUCCAGACAGUUUAAGAGCUUAUCUGCUCUGCUCUUCUCCCACCUAGGAGGACUCUUACUACAAUGCAAAGACUCAAGUUUCACCUUAAUUGGGUCUUUCCCAGGCCAGGUAUUAGUGCCCUUGGGAAAAAAGUUUAAGCUUCUCAGCUUCAGAUCUUCCUCUGAAUAUUAGCACUAUGGUAACAGUGGUACCUAACCCUUUGAGGGUCCAGGGUUGUUUUAAUGGUGAAUGAUUUACAAACUGAGUUUAAAAUAGCAAGGAGGAUCCAAUUUUGCAAAAUUUCACUUAAUUCUGCUUAAGAAAACAGUAUAUUAUAUUAGCUUAGAUCAGGAGUUGGGAAACUGCUACCAUUUAUUGUAUAGCCUGCAAAUGGGUUUUACAUUUUUAAUACACUGGAAAAAAAAGUAAAGAAGACUAUUAUUUCAUGAUGUGAAAAUUAUACGUGUUGAAAGGAAAUCUUUAGAGGUUAAUUGAGCAAAGAAUGAUUUGUGAAUUAGGCAGCCCCCAGAACCAGACUAGGGUUGGUUACAGCUGGGCAUUUACCUUAUUUGAACCUGGUUUGAAGAGUUGGCUGCCUGUGUUGGCUGAAGUUUGGCUGCUGUGACUGGCUGAGACUCACUACUUGUUACAAGAGUAGGUUACAGUCCGUUUUACAUAUCAAGUUGAGUUAUAGUUUUUUAUGUACUGGGAAACCUUUAGGGCAAACUUAAAAUAUGUAAGGAGGCAGCUUUAGGCCACACUAAAUUUAACGUUUCCUCCUUUUGGUCAACCUCUCAAUUUUGAGAGGAUGAUUAAUUUUGAGGUUGCCCAAAACUUUAGGCAUUGACAUCACUUUUUAUCAUCAUAAAUAGAGUUAUUUUGUCUCUAAUCCCAUUGGAAAAUAGCAGAACACUGGGUUUUGUAAGGUGGGAACAAGGAAACAGAAUAGGAAAAAAAAAAAAAAACAAAAA
rnacentral:lncRNA from 1 species